AAAUGACGGUACCUGACUAAGAAGCACCGGCUAAAUACAUGCCAGCAGCCGCGGUAAUACGUAUGGUGCAAGCGUUAUCCGGAUUUACUGGGUGUAAAGGGAGCGUAGACGGAUGGGCAAGUCUGAUGUGAAAACCCGGGGCUCAACCCCGGGACUGCAUUGGAAACUGUUCAUCUAGAGUGCUGGAGAGGUAAGUGGAAUUCCUAGUGUAGCGGUGAAAUGCGUAGAUAUUAGGAGGAACACCAGUGGCGAAGGCGGCUUACUGGACAGUAACUGACGUUGAGGCUCGAAAGCGUGGGGAGCAAACAGGAUUAGAUACCCUGGUAGUCCACGCCGUAAACGAUGACUACUAGGUGUCGGGUGGCAAAGCCAUUCGGUGCCGCAGCAAACGCAAUAAGUAGUCCACCUGGGGAGUACGUUCGCAAGAAUGAAACUCAAAG
rnacentral:rRNA from 1 species